GCCUUCGUGGUGUAGUGGUCAGCACACUCAAUGCGCAACCGAGAGGUCCGUGGUUCGAUUCCCGGCGAAGGCG
rnacentral:tRNA from 1 species